rnacentral:rRNA from 1 species
AGGAUGAAUGCUGGCGGCGCGCCUAACACAUGCAAGUCGAGCGGAAAGGCCCUUCGGGGUACUCGAGCGGCGGACGGCUGAGUAACGCGUGGGAACAUGCCCCAAAGUGAGGAAUAACUGCCCGAAAGGGUAGCUAAUGCCGCAUAUGAUCUUAGGAUUAAAGGAUUUAUCCGCUUUGGGAGUGGCCCGCGUACGAUUAGGUAGUUGGUGAGGUAAAGGCUCACCAAGCCCACGAUCGUUAACUGGUCUGAGAGGAUGAUCAGUCAGGCUGGAACUGAGACACGGUCCAGACUCCUACGGGAGGCAGCAGUGAGGAAUCUUCCACAAUGGGC